rnacentral:rRNA from 1 species
GUUUGAUCCUGGCUCAGAAUGAACGCUGGCGGCGUGCCUAACACAUGCAAGUCGAAUGUGCCCGCAAGGGUGCAUGGCAGACGGGUGAGUAACGCGUGGGCAAUCUACCUUCUCGUGGGGAAUAACGAUCCGAAAGGAUUGGUAAUACCGCAUGAGACCGACGACUGGGAUGUUGUCGGUGAAACCUGGGGACCUUCGGGCCUGGGGCGAGAAGAGGAGCCUGCGUCUGAUUAGCUAGUUGGCGGGGUAACGGCCUACCAAGGCAUCGAUCAGUAGCCGGCCGGAGAGGGUGAUCGGCCACACUGGAACUGAGACACGGUCCAGACUCCUACGGGAGGCAGCAGUGGGGAAUUUUGCGCAAUGGACGAAAGUCUGACGCAGCAACGCCGCGUGGGUGAUGAAGGUCUUCGGAUCGUAAAACCCUGUCGUUGGGGACGAAGGUGGCUCAGUUAAUAGCUGAGUUGCUUGACGGUACCCGGAGAGGAAGCCCCGGCUAACUCUGUGCCAGCAGCCGCGGUAAUACAGAGGGGGCAAGCGUUAUUCGGAAUUAUUGGGCGUAAAGGGCGCGUAGGCGGUUUUUUAAGUCAGAUGUGUAAUCCCCGAGCUCAACUUGGGAACUGCAUCCGAGACUGGAAGGCUAGAGUACUGGAGAGGGUGGUGGAAUUCCUCGUGUAGCGGUGAAAUGCGUAGAGAUGAGGAGGAACACCAGUGGCGAAGGCGGCCACCUGGACAGUAACUGACGCUGAGGCGCGAAAGUGUGGGUAGCAAACAGGAUUAGAUACCCUGGUAGUCCACACUGUAAACGAUGAACACUUGGUGUGGAGGGAGUUGACCCCUUCCGUGCCGGAGCUAACGCGUUAAGUGUUCCGCCUGGGGAGUA